ensembl:snoRNA LOC120099500 small nucleolar RNA SNORA17
CCUGCCCUUGGAGGUAUUGUAGGUGUAGUUGCUGUGUCACAUGUGCAUUGAUAGGUAUCAGAGAAGAGGAAGACUAUGUCCAUGCUCAAUGUGCUGAUACAUGAACAUCUGAAUGAUUAGUAGCCUAAAAUC